rnacentral:rRNA from 1 species
AACGAACGCUGGCGGCAGGCCUAACACAUGCAAGUCGAGCGCCCCGCAAGGGGAGCGGCGGACGGGUGAGUAACGCGUGGGAACGUGCCUCUUGCUACGGAAUAGCCUCGGGAAACUGGGAGUAAUACCGUAUGUGCCCUACGGGGGAAAGAUUUAUCGGCAAGAGAUCGGCCCGCGUUGGAUUAGGUAGUUGGUGGGGUAAUGGCCUACCAAGCCGACGAUCCAUAGCUGGUUUGAGAGGAUGAUCAGCCACACUGGGACUGAGACACGGCCCAGACUCCUACGGGAGGCAGCAGUGGGGAAUCUUGCGCAAUGGGGGCAACCCUGACGCAGCCAUGCCGCGUGAACGAUGAAGGCCUUAGGGUUGUAAAGUUCUUUUACCCGUGACGAUGAUGACGGUAACGGGGAAUAAGCUCCGGCUAACUUCGUG